rnacentral:rRNA from 1 species
CGCAUCUGUGCAUGCAGCAUAUCAAUAAGCGGAGGAAAAGAAACUAACAAGGAUUCCCUUAGUAACGGCGAGUGAAGCGGGAAGAGCUCAAAUUUGAAAUCUUCAAGGUUUUACCUUGACGAAUUGUAGUUUAAAGAAGUGUUUUCUGUUGAAGUUUUGGUAAAAGUUCUUUGGAAUAGGACAUCAUAGAGGGUGAGAAUCCCGUAUUUGACCAUUAUUUUCAGCUGUGUGAUACACUUUCAAAGAGUCGGAUUGUUUGGGAAUGCAGUCCAAAAUGGGUGGUAAAUUUCAUCUAAAGCUAAAUAUUGGCGAGAGACCGAUAGCGAACAAGUACCGUGAGGGAAAGAUGAAAAGAACUUUGAAAAGAGAGUUAAACAGUACGUGAAAUUGUCAAAAGGGAAGCGUUUGACACCAGUGUUGUUUUCUCGAAAAUCAAUUAAAAAGAGUUAGAUUUUGUUGUGUAUUGACCUUAACAGCUUGCAUUUCAAUUUUCUUGCUUUUUUUAAUGCACUUUUCGUUUAACAAGUCAACAUCAGUUUCUUUUGUUGUAAAAGGGUCAUUGGAAGGUGGCUUUCUCUUCGGAGAAAGUGUUUAUAGCCUUUGAUCUCUGCAAUCGGAGAGACUGAGGUCUGCAGCGUAGAUCCUUCGGGGUUAGAUACAUUUGUGCUAAGCUACUAGCUUUUUAUAGACAACUUGUUGACUAUGAUUAGUCUUGUAGCUUACUCGCUUAUGCUAUUUUACCUACGCUUAGGAUGUUGACGCGCGUGUGUGCGU